AUUGAACGCUGGCGGCAUGCCUUACACAUGCAAGUCGAACGGCAGCACGGGAGCAAUCCUGGUGGCGAGUGGCGAACGGGUGAGUAAUAUAUCGGAACGUGCCCAGUCGUGGGGGAUAACGUAGCGAAAGCUACGCUAAUACCGCAUACGGUCUAUGGAUGAAAGCGGGGGAUCGCAAGACCUCGCGCGAUUGGAGCGGCCGAUAUCAGAUUAGGUAGUUGGUGAGGUAAAGGCUCACCAAGCCGACGAUCUGUAGCUGGUCUGAGAGGACGACCAGCCAGACUGGGACUGAGACACGGCCCAGACUCCUACGGGAGGCAGCAGUGGGGAAUUUUGGACAAUGGGCGCAAGCCUGAUCCAGCAAUGCCGCGUGCAGGAUGAAGGCCUUCGGGUUGUAAACUGCUUUUGUACGGAACGAAACGGUGAGCUCUAAUACAGUUUGCUAAUGACGGUACCGUAAGAAUAAGCACCGGCUAACUACGUGCCAGCCGCCGCAGUAA
rnacentral:rRNA from 1 species